AGUGAACGCUGGCGGUAGGCCUAACACAUGCAAGUCGAGCGGCAGCACAGUAAGAGCUUGCUCUUACGGGUGGCGAGUGGCGGACGGGUGAGGAAUACAUCGGAAUCUACUUUUUCGUGGGGGAUAACGGAGGGAAACUUACGCUAAUACCGCAUACGAUCUACGGGUGAAAGCAGGAGAUCUUCGGACCUUGCGCGAUUGAAUGAGCCGAUGUCGGAUUAGCUAGUUGGCGGGGUAAAGGCACACCAAGGCGACGAUCCGUAGCUGGUCUGAGAGGAUGAUCAGCCACACUGGAACUGAGACACGGUCCAGACUCCUACGGGAGGCAGCAGUGGGGAAUAUUGGACAAUGGGCGCAAGCCUGAUCCAGCCAUACCGCGUGGGUGAAGAAGGCCUUCGGGUUGUAAAGCCCUGUUGUUGGGAAAGAAAAGCAGCAGGUUAAUACCCCGCUGUUCUGACGGUACCCAAAGAAUAAGCACCGGCUAACUUCGUG
rnacentral:rRNA from 1 species